rnacentral:rRNA from 1 species
UACGUAGGGGGCAAGCGUUGUCCGGAUUUAUUGGGCGUAAAGAGCGUGUAGGCGGUUUUACAGGUCCGCUGUGAAAACUCGAGGCUCAACCUCGAGACGCCGAUGGAAACCAUCUGACUAGAGUCCGGAAGAGGAGAGUGGAAAUUCCUGGUGUAGCGGUGAAAUGCGCAGAUAUCAGGAAGAACACCCGUGGCUAAGGCGGCUCUCUAGUACGGUACUGACGCUGAGACGCGAAAGCGUGGGGAGCGAACAGG